rnacentral:tRNA from 1 species
GAGGGUGUAGCUCAAGUGGUAGAGUACAUGCUUAGCAUGCACAUGGUCCUGGGUUCAAUCCCCAGUACCUCCU